rnacentral:misc_RNA from 1 species
GGGGUGGCAAUUCACUAUUAGU